GAAUCUUGCGCAAUGGGCGAAAGCCUGACGCAGCGACGCCGCGUGCGGGAAGACGGCCUUCGGGUUGUAAACCGCUUUCAGCAGGGACGAAAUUGACGGUACCUGCAGAAGAAGCUCCGGCCAACUACGUGCCCGCAGCCGCGGUAAGACGUAGGGGGCGAGCGUUGUCCGGAAUCAUUGGGCGUAAAGGGCUCCUAGGCGGUUCAGUAAGUCGACCGUGAAAAUCCAAGGCUCAACCUUGGGACGCCAGUCGAUACUGCUGUGACUCGAGUUCGGUAGAGGAGUGUGGAAUUCCUGGUGUAGCGGUGGAAUGCGCAGAUAUCAGGAGGAACACCAACGGCGAAGGCAGCACUCUGGGCCGAUACUGACGCUGAAGAGCGAAAGCAUGGGGAGCAAACAGG
rnacentral:rRNA from 1 species